rnacentral:rRNA from 1 species
GACGAACGCUGGCGGCGUGCUUAACACAUGCAAGUCGAACGGACGAGUGAGAUAAGUUUACUUAACUCACAAGUUAGUGGCGGACGGGUGAGUAACACGUGGAUAAUCUACCUGCAACACCGGGAUAACGCUGUGAAAACGGUGCUAAUACCGGAUACGUUCCCUUGUGCGCAUGUAUGAGGGAAGAAAGCUCAGGCGGUUGCAGAUGAGUCCGCGGCUGAUUAGCUAGUUGGUGAGGUAAAGGCUCACCAAGGCGAUGAUCAGUAGCCGGCCUGAGAGGGUGAACGGCCACACUGGGACUGAGACACGGCCCAGACUCCUACGGGAGGCAGCAGUGGGGAAUCUUCCGCAAUGGGCGCAAGCCUGACGGAGCAACGCCGCGUGGGUGAAGAAGGCCUCGGUUGUAAGACCUGUCUUAUGGGAAGAAGUACAGUGACGGUACCAUAGGAGGAAGGACCACGGCUAACUACGUAGCCAGCAGCCGCGGUAAUAGUACUA